rnacentral:ribozyme from 1 species
CUGCAUAAUUAUGUAUUCAUGCAAUUUAAAAAGAAAAAAACAUAAGAGAGAAGAAAAGUAAAAAACAAAAUUUGUUUUUUGUAUUACCAUUAC